UCCCAUCCUGGACUGCCCCACCCCACAGACACACCAGGACAAUGCACAGCCACCCACAGCAGAGGCUCUCACCCCACACCCCCUUGCACCAGAGGAGCUCAGCCAUGCAGGGAGGGGUGCAAUGGCACAGCUCAGCUUCCUCCGAAGCAGAACCCACAUCUGGACAGCUGUGCCCAAAAGGGAGUCUGAGAAAUACCCUCUGAGUAUGGUGUUUGUUCACAUGCAUCUGAUUUAUAGAGCACAAAGACAACCACAAUGGGCUACAUGGACAUGGAGGAUUUUCUGAAAUCUCACUCAAGUGAAGCUCCACCAGCACCAGCAUUACUAAUCCUGCUUGAGCAAAGUUAUGCAAAAAUAUGGUACAAAUAUGAACAGGAACCAAAGCAUACUCUGCUUUAUGAAACCAAUGUUUUUUAUUAGGUAUUCCUGGUGGGAAAAGGGAUAAAAGCUGUAGGGGACAAAAAGUUGUCAAUGAAACUUAUUAGACUAAUGAAUCCAAGUUUAACCUCUGUAUAAACCAGCUGGAGUGAAGAAUGCCACUCUCUGUCUACUCUAGGCAGCCAAGUAGAAGGAAAAACCUUAGAAAAAGGUAAAAGCUGAAGAAGGCUGUCCCUAUACCAACAGAGAUAGUGUGGAGAGGCAUUUUGAAUGGAGAAGCUGCUCCCACAAAGUGCCAAACGUCCACAACCUGGAUGAGCCACAAGCUGGGAAAACAGUGGAAAGCUUCCUGAUUUAUUGGUGUGCUGGAAGACAGGGCAGGGAGCCAACUGAUGGAAGUGUAGUUGAAUGAAAGAUUGAAUCCUCACAUGUACACCAGUUAUUUAUUUUUCAAGGUUGGGAUUGAAGGUAUUUGAGAUGGCAUUUUAUGUUUGGACUUAGGUGUUUAUUAUUUUUUAUUUAUGUUACAGUCUCACUAUCGUGAGUUUGGUAGUUUUUUCAUUAGUAAGGUACAAAAUAGUUAAUUAACUUUUGUUACAAGGUUUUUUAAAACUAAACUAUUUAAUUAAGAAAGGACACCUAGAUUAUUUUUCCUUUUAACCCAAUAACUGAUACCCCAAUAUUUUUUUCUGUCUAAUCACAAAACAUCACUUAAACUCAUGAAGAAGAAGGAAGAAGGUAAAGAAGAACAACUUGUUUCUGCUUUAAAACUUCUAUUUUGCUUCAUAUUUAUUUUAAUAUUUUAAAAUAUUAAACUCUAAGUUUUCUGCUUGGUCAUAUUACACACUUCU
rnacentral:lncRNA from 1 species